rnacentral:lncRNA from 1 species
GGGUGGCAGAGUUGUCACCUUUCAAUAACAGCAGGGGAAAACACAGUCUCAUAGCUGAGGAGAAUAUGCAUAUAGACCCGAACAAAGCCACAAACCAGAAUCCAACUACUGAGAAAUUUAGAAAUAGAAGAGAUCAAUAAAACUACCUAGUCAGCAUAUAAAAAUGCCAAUGCAAUACAAUUGUGGAAAAUCUGUGAAAGAGACAAAAGACCAGAAGAUAAAACCUGAGAGAGAAAGAUGACAGUUAGAGAGGUCCUACUACGUUACAAGUGUGCAGCUUUAGGCCAUGGAUCUGCCAGAUGAAACCAGCCCAUGAAGACCACUUCCCAUGGCGAAUGCAUACCACACCCACCAAGUUCUAUUAAUAGUGAUUAUGAAACUUGUUUAUAUGCAGAUGAUUCUCAGAUUAACUUUUGACAUCUGGAAGUUACAGAUAGGGAUUUUGAUACUGUGGAGUUUGAGUCUGUCAUUACAGCAGCCAAAUUCCAACCCAAACAGCUGUAACACAUCUGUACACAGCAUCUGCUUUGUGACAUGAGGGCAUCUGCUCUCGUGAUAGGCAUUCUAAGCUGUUGGGAGAGAAGGAAGAUCCUGGUAACAGGUCAUUUUCUCCCCUCACAUCAUCUCCUCUAUUUCUGGUGUAAAAUUCUGUCAUAGUGGUCACUGUAUGAUGACCAGAGGGUUAUUUGUCAGUCAAAAUUUAAAUAUGGAAAGCAGGCAAGUAUUUGGAAACAUACCAAGUAUGUGAACAUCUCUGAAGUAAAUUUUGCUCUCUGUAUGAAAAUGACUGCAUAUUUGGCAAAUUUAAAUGGUCUUGGAAU